UGGGGAAUUUUGGACAAUGGGCGAAAGCCUGAUCCAGCAAUGCCGCGUGUGUGAAGAAGGCCUUCGGGUUGUAAAGCACUUUUGUCCGGAAAGAAAUCAUCUGGGUUAAUACCUCGGGGGGAUGACGGUACCGGAAGAAUAAGCACCGGCUAACUACGUGCCAGCAGCCGCGGUAAUACGUAGGGUGCAAGCGUUAAUCGGAAUUACUGGGCGUAAAGCGUGCGCAGGCGGUUUUGUAAGACGGAUGUGAAAUCCCCGGGCUUAACCUGGGAACUGCAUUCGUGACUGCAAGGCUAGAGUAUGGCAGAGGGGGGUAGAAUGCCACGUGUAUCAGUUAAAUGCGUAGAGAUGUGGACGAAUACCGAUGCCCACUGCCGCUCCCCGGCCCACUACUGACGCUCAUGCACGCAAGCGUUGGCAGCAA
rnacentral:rRNA from 1 species